CAGCACUUGAUACUAGCCGAGCUAUCUAUGUCCUAGCCUUGUGACAGAGGCUGGUGAUGUGUUGUGAUAGCUGGGUUUAAGAAGUGCAAUAUUAAAACAAAAGCCGUGAGUCUUUUUAGCCCAGUGUGUAAAGACGCACUCUGAGUUAUAACUCAGUGGCACAACU